rnacentral:lncRNA from 1 species
GCAGGAAGGAGGAGCACCAAGCAAAAGAAGGAAAGCCAUGUGAACUGAGAUGAAUGACAUGAGAUGGUACAGUUGAAGAAACACCAAGGCCAAGGAAAGGUUUUUCUCAAGAAAUGUUACCUGGUUGGCAAAACGGCCAAAAGGAAAUUGUGAUCAAUUGUAAAACCAGAAGAGAAUGAAUGAAAGAGACAUCCGUGAACCUUCUGAAUGGGAAGUUCAUUGAAAUUAAUCCAUUUGAAUCAGUUGGAUGAAUGUGGAAGAUAAUUAAUAUUAAUUUCUGAUUGAUUCUUACUUAGUGUUUAGCUUUUAUGUCUUCUAAAUUCAGAUGGUGGAUGAAUGUAAGAACUACGUGAUUUUUCAUGAGUCUAAAUUUUAUCAAAUAGUGUUAAAACACACUGAUGAAAUAAUACACAGUAACUGACUCAUUGGCACUAAAAAAAGGAAGCAAGGUUUUAGCAAUAUUGUUGAAGAGGAUUUUAUUAAAACUAUACUUUUCAUAUGGCUAAACUAUAAUGGUAUUUUGCAGUAAGACAAAAUAGCUACAUAGGAUCUUUGAGAAUUAUCCAGAAAAGCUAACAAAUUUCCCCAAGAUGAGGAAACAAAAAUAAACUUGCUCAAUGAUUUAUAUUGAAUAUACCUUAUUUAUAGUCUUUUUUUUUUUGUUGUUUUUUUGAGACAGAGUCUUGCUCUGUCGCCCAGGCUGGAGUGCAGUGGUGCAAUCUUGGCUUACUGCAACCUCUGCCUCCCAAGUUCAAGUGAUUCUUCUGCCUCAGGCUUCCGAGUAGCUGGAACUACAGGCGUGCGCCACCACGCCCGUCUAAUUUUUGUAUUUUUAGUAGAGAUGGGAUUUCAACAUAUUGGCCAGGCUGGUCUCAAACUCCUGACCUCGUGAUACACCCGCCUCAGCCUCCCAAAGUGCUGGGAUUACAGGCAUGAGCCACUGUGCCCGGCCUUAUUUACAGUCUUUAAAAUUCGAAGACAAGCUGGUUAUAAAUCUACUGUUGAAUGUGGAUUUUUUGGUAUCUCAGGGUCAACAUUCACUAUGUUGCUGUUCAUUCAGCUCUGUCGAAACUCAAAUCAUUCACAAGAAAAAAGUUAUGAACAAAACACCCUUAGCUUUUUGACACGAGUUAAACAUUCUUGUUUUGAAACUGAGUAUGAGUCUAGAGGCUAAGUAGCUAUCCCCAGAUCAUAAGGCAAUAGGGACUACUUGUUCCUGAAAAGAUACAGCCUCAUUUCUGCACUGUGUGUUAUGCGAUGACUCAUUUGUUAUUCCGGUUAAUCAUGUACAAAGCUAUUCAAAAGAAUUCCAGAUCAACAUGAAUAGUAUUAUAAAUCCAGGCAGGAGUUCAGAGGUUUUUAUAAGAGAUAUCUAUAAUUAUUGCUUAGACUGCCAAAAGCACAAUAAAAGAAACUACAACUCUGAAUAGCAGGCAUAAAAUUCAUAUUAGCCUUAUGGAAUACACACAGAUUACAUUCUAACAUUCAAUUAAUUCAAGGUUAAGGCUACAUCCACAUUUGAAGAGCUAGCAAAGUGAGGAUCUCCAUUAUUUUGUAAGUCAUUGAGCAAUAUAUUGGACUGUUGGCUGCUAUAUUUAGUAUAAUAUGAUAUAGCCUUUGAAUGGUUAUUAAAAGUAUGAUUUUUGUAAAGCUUUUAUUUUUUAGAAUAUAAAUGUUAAGUAUAAAAAUUCAAUCAUCUCAGCAUGUGUAAAGAAAGUUAAAAAAAAAGCUUGAAAUUCCACCACCAGAAAUAACCACUGUCAAUUCGUCUGCAUCAGCAUUUCACUGACUGCAUACUAUUCCAUUUUAUAUCUGUGCUGUGUUUCACAUAAACCAAUUUCACAUUGAUGAAAUAUGGUUUGCUGUACAUUUUUCACAAUUAUGAAAACAAUCAUGGAUAUCUUUCUGUCUACAAUGAUUUCCAUUUGUGAUCUUUUUUUCCACAAGAUGCCCCAGAAAUGUGAUUGCUGAACAUUUUAUAUCUUAAUACAUUUUUUCAAAUUUUCUCAUCAGAAAGUUUAUAUCAAUUUGCACUCCUUCACUAUAAGAUAAACGUACCCAUUAUUAAUACUUGGCAACUCCAGUCUGUCAAAUUUUUAAUCUUUUCAAGACACUAGAGAAAAAUAUGUUAUAUUAUUACUUUUAAUUCUUUUUAGAUUUUAGAGAUAGGGUCUUGCUUUGCCAUCCAGGCUGGAGUCCAGUGGCACAAUCCCAGCUUGGUGCAACCUUGAUCUCUCAGGCUCAAGCAAGCCUCUUGUCCCAGCCUCCCAUGUAGCUGGGACUACAGGUGUGUGCCACCACACCUGGCUAAUUUUCUCAAUUUUUUGAAGAGACAGGGUCUUGUAAUGUUGUCCAGACUAGUCUCGAAUUCCUUGUCUCAAGCAAUCUUCCUGCUUUGGCCUCCCAAAAUGCUGGGAUUAUAGGUGUGAGCCACUGUACCUGGCUAAAUAUUUCACAUUUUAUUUUAAAAUUUGGUCGUAUUUUCAAAUAUUUGCUGUGAGUUGUGGGGUUUUUUAUUGAGGAUAUUUUUCCAGUGUCUUCUUUUUAAUUAGUUAUUUUUAUAUACAUUUAAGGUUUACAUUAUGAUGUUUUGAAAUACAU